GGGAUCUAAAAUAUGGUAAUGCAGAGUAAAGCAUUAAUAUGUGCUUUAUAAGUACUAAUAAACAUCCAAUGUGCUAGUAAUGUGCAUGCCAAUACGCCACUGGGGAGUAGUAAGAAAUGGUCCCUAAACAAAUUAUUUGUAUUAAUUGUAUUUUACAUGAUUCGCCAUCUGUGCAAUGAUCUUCUCGUAGUAAGGUAAAGUAUUUCACACUUUUCUCUGAGACUGAAAAAGAGCAGAGCAGGUCACCCAGUGUGGUGCCUCUCAUCUUUUGUGUGCUGGUUUCCUCAUGCCAGCUUUCUGCUGUCACAUUAGUGCAUGUCAAAUACCAAACCUCACAUGCAAAUUAAAUCUUAGACUUUUAGCUUUUUGUUAGCUCAGAGGCUUCCUUUGCUAACAGGAAGUACUUUUUAGUCUUUCAAACCGAUUUGCUAAGUGUCAUCAUGUUUGUCUUUCCUUUCUAAGUGUCUCUGAGGGGUGUUUUGGAGCGAUUGUUUACACCUGCUGCAAUGGGUAAGUGGGAGCAAGAAUCCUUCAUCAUAUAAUGAGCUCCUGGCAGAACCUCACCACUGAAUAUUUCCCUCUGGCCAGUGGAGUAGCAAACCAGAUAUACAGUUAUAUCAACCAUGUGUGAUUGUGAAGUUUGUGUGGGUAUGUGUUAGACGAUCAGUGAGAGUGGUCAGCCUGUUACAGGUCAAAGUUCAUGGUCAUCAAUGGUUGAGGUAGACGGCUCUCCAUCUGGUGGGGACUUGGCCUCUGAGGGUCAGGGCUUAAAAAGUGUAGAUCUUUGGCACUGCAGCUGCAUGUCAUGAAUUGAAUGAAAGCAGGCACUUGAGCAACUAUGUGUGCACCAAGUAAAAAGCACAAUGUAGGAGCAUUAGUAUGCUAAUGAGGUGCGGGGCGACAGGUGGCCUGCUAGACAGCUCAAUUAAGCAGCUCGUUAAAGGCCAAGCUAACGAAGCGGCCUGCACUGCAAGCCUCAACAAACAAUGUGACUGUGCAGGCUACAAAUUGCUUCCAGCGGAACAUUGAGAGGAUGUGCCACCCAUUUUUUAAAGAUGUUCAGGUUUUUGGUGAACAAUUAGUGUGAGGCUGACGGAGAUGGUCUCGACCCCUGGUUGCUGCGAACAUUAUAGGGAUGCAGAGGAGGGAUGGAGAGAUGCGUUCCUCAUAAAGAAUCCUGCUGAGACAAUAGAACAGCACACAGGCACUUGGGGAACAGAAGGGUGACACAGAGGGCAGCUCUUACCCACAACAACUCUCCUCCUUUGAAAACAAAACCCCAACCUGUUACUGCUUCAAUCUGUCUGUGGGAGGGGAUGCUCGUAAUAAAGCUGCCAGCCCCCUUGUUAGGCAUCAUGAGGGAUCAAGGGAGCAGGUUGUGGUAACAUUUGUAGCAUUUGGCUGCAGCAAAUCACACAGCUUUUUUCCUGAAAAGAAGCAGCCACCUUAAAAGGGGGGCUGUCCUCCAGUGAAGACCCUGGUCUUUCUCCUGCUCUCAGCCUGCGCUCAGCGGUCUGCAUGCCCCUCACCAUCGCUUGCAAAUCCCCCUUUAUCCGCUGGCAGCCAGAUGGGGUGGCAGGAAUAAUAGGCAGAGCCUGAUGAGCACCAUUCAAUUUGUCCAGCCGUGUAAAGGAGCUUGUAAGCCGUUCCAUUUGAGCAGGGUGUAAUAGUAGCCAGGGGAGCAGAGGCUAUGUUAAGACUUAAUUACCUACUAAUGGCUGUUGUAGGGACAAAAGACUUGUGUAGACCCCAACAACUUACACUCCUGUAAUAGAGGAGAAAGGCUGCGAGAGGAAGGGGUUGGGGGAAAUUGUUUGAGAUGUUGUGGCCAGAAAUUUGUGAUAUGCAUGUGUUAAAAAUGUCAUCAACACAACUGUGUUAAAGGUGUGUAUGAGGUGUGGAUGAAAAGAAAAAGGAGAAAGAAAAAGACUUUGCUGCAUGUACUUUGAUUUUCUUUAGAAAACAUUUUGGCUCAAAAACCUGUUAGAAAAGGUUUUCUUUUUUUCAUUGUUUUUUUCUUUUUCUUUUCUUAUUCUCUUUUUUCAGUUUGAGGGAAGAUUAGCAGGAUUAAGACUGACUCACAUAUGCUGCUUAUCACUACUGGUAUUCAACACAAGCCCAACUGCCACCCAGAUGGGGAGAGAAAGAGAAAGACAGAGGGUGAGAGGGAAAGUUUUCCUCUGAUAUUAAAGCAUUGCUACACUGAAUCAGAACUGUUUGGAAUAAUUGUGGAAGAGAAAAAGGCUGUUUAGUGAGAACGGGAGAAACCGUUAGAUGGUGAGAGGAGGGAAUCAUAAUGGAUUUAUGAUGGAAAAUAGUUCAAGGGGUGCAGGAUAUAGAGUGGGGUCCAAAA